UACGUAGGGAGCAAGCGUUGUCCGGAAUCAUUGGGCGUAAGAGCGUGUAGGCGGCCCGAUAAGUCCGCUGUGAAAGUCCAGGCUCAACCCUGGAAUGCCGGUGGAUACUGUCGGGCUCGAAUCCGGAAGAGGUGAGUGGAAUUCCUGGUGUAGCGGUGAAAUGCGCAGAUAUCAGGAGGAACACCAAUGGCGAAGGCAGCUCACUGGACGGUAUUGACGCUGAGACGCGAAAGCGUGGGAGCAAACAGG
rnacentral:rRNA from 1 species